CACACCGCCCGUCACACCAUGGGAGUUGAUUGCACCAGAAGUAGGUAGUCUAACCGCAAGGAGGGCGCUUACCACGGUGUGGUCAAUGACUGGGGUG
rnacentral:rRNA from 1 species